rnacentral:rRNA from 1 species
UACGUAGGGUGCAAGCGUUGUCCGGAAUCAUUGGGCGUAAAGCGCGCGUAGGUGGCUUCGUAAGUCCGUUGUGAAAGUCAAAGGCUCAACCCUGGAAAGCCGGUGGAUACUGUCGGGCUCGAGUCCGGAAGAGGCGAGUGGAAUUCCUGGUGUAGCGGUGGAAUGCGCAGAUAUCAGGAGGAACACCAAUGGCGAAGGCAGCUCGCUGGGACGGUACUGACGCUGAGGCGCGAAAGCGUGGGGAGCGAACAGG